UGAAAACAGCUCAUUAUCAAAAGUGGGGAAAACAUUUCGGACGUUGUUUACCACUGAGAUCACUUUGGUGCUUCUUCCAGCUGCCUGAGGAUAUUGGUGAAGACAGAGAAAGGGAGAGAUGGAAAGAAAGAAAGAAAGCAUCUGUUUAAAAGUUUCCAUCCUCAAGGUGACAUGUUUUCUCUCUGUUGUUUUUAGGACACUUCAUCUGUUCAAAACAAUUCUUCCCAAACCAUGCACAGUUCACAGCACUGGGUCAGCUCCAGAAUUUGAAACUGCUUCUGCACAGCUUUGUUUUCCUUCCGUUCUUUUAAUGACUUUGGGUUCCCAUCUCUUGGCUCUCAUGCUGGUGGCAUUGCUUAUAAGAAAAGAAAAUGGAUGUAAUGAUUACCAUGAGAUAAGGGAAAAUUCCAAGGUGCAGUCUCACUGACAUUAUGGUUCAGCUCCAACUCUUUCAACUUCAGAUUUCUGUACGUGUGUUUUUUGCAUGGCAUCUUAAAUGGUGUUUCUUAAAUCUUCAGAGUAAGUUUGUGAAAGAGAUUAUAUGACAUGGUCGCAGCAGCAGUGGGCUGGACUCAAGUUACCCAAGAAGUCCCUUCUCAUCCCAUGUUUGUAGAAGCAGAGGCAAAACUCAACCAUCUACAGCUGCAGAAGUUGCUGCUGGCAUCUUAAAGAUCCUGAAAGGGGGGAAGAAGACAGAGAGAAGAACAGACUAUCUUUCAGGGAAUGGCUGACCUUUCAGACCUCCUGAGCUUCCAGAAACCUUGCCAUUGUCAAACCAGCUGCAGAACCAGGAACUCCCUUUGACGUCAUCACUGAAAGGUCCUAAUUAGUUAAUUUCCCAAGCCAUGUGGCCCUCAAGUGGUCUAACUUCACCUUUAGCCCUUGACCAACUCACCCAAUUUAGUGGUUCAAGGUUCAGUUCUGUGUCAGGGCAAAUGAGUCCCUGAGAAGACACUUAUUGUUUCACUUCAUUGUAUCCGUAUGAGUUUUGCCAUCUGAUACUAUUUCUGGAUACCUUCUUUGCCAAAUGUUUCCUGGGCACCAGCAGCAAACCCUGUGUUCAUUUUUUUCUGUGCAAGGAGGACUAGAAUAGUAGCAAACGAGCUUUCACUUUUACUAUCCAACUGCUUUUUUGUCCACAGGCUUCCUCUAUAGACCAGAAAUGGACAUUUUACAGCUCCCCUGAUUGACAUGGUGCUUUAUUUUCAAAUGAUAUAUGAUGCAGCACAUACAGCAUUACAUGAGGAGCUUAAUAAAUAAUAAUGCUA